GUGAGGAAUUUUCCGCAAUGGGCGAAAGCCUGACGCAGCAAUGCCGCGUGAAGGAUGAAGGCCUAUGGGUUGUAAACUUCUUUUCUCAGAAAAGAAUUAUGACGGUAUCUGAGGAAUAAGCAUCGGCUAACUCUGUGCCAGCAGCCGCGGUAAGACAGAGGAUGCAAGCGUUAUCCGGAAUGAUUGGGCGUAAAGCGUCUGUAGGUUGUUUAAACAGUAUUCUGUCAAAGAUUAGGGCUUAACCCUAGAUAGGCAGAAUAAACUUUUAAGCUAGAGUUUGGUAGAGGCAGAGGGAAUUCCCGGUGGAGCGGUGAAAUGCGUAGAUAUCGGGAGGAACACCAAAGGCGAAGGCACUCUGCUGGGCCAAUACUAACACUGAGAGACGAAAGCGAGGGGAGCAAAUGGGAUUAGAAACCCUUGUAGUCC
rnacentral:rRNA from 1 species